GGAGAGAUGCCGGAGUGGUCGAUCGGGCUCGACUCGAAAUCGAGUGUUCUGCGCAAGCAGGACCGAGGGUUCGAAUCCCUCUCUCUCCG
rnacentral:tRNA from 1 species